rnacentral:rRNA from 1 species
GACGAACGCUGGCGGCGUGCUUAACACAUGCAAGUCGAGCGGAGCGGCGGACGGGUGCGUAACGCGUGAGUAACUGCCCCCCUCUCUGGGAUAACAGUUGGAAACGGCUGCUAAUACCGGAUAGUGGGGGAUGCCUCGCGUCCUAUCGGCUUGUGGGUGGGGUAGUGGCCUACCAAGGCGACGACGGGUAGCCGGCCUGAGAGGGCGACCGGCCACAUGGGGCUGAGAUACGGCGCAAAAUGCUACCGGACGCAGUAGUGGGGAAUAUGGCACAAUGGGGGAGACCGUGAUGCAGAAACGCCGGGUGCGGGAUGACGGGCUUCUGGUUGUAAACCGCUUUCAGCCAUGACGCGGUAGUGGCAGAAGAAGCACCGGCUAACUACGUGCCAGCAGCCGCGGUAAUUC